rnacentral:rRNA from 1 species
GACGAACGCUGGCGGCGUGCCUAAUACAUGCAAGUCGAACGCUUCUUUCCUCCCGAGUGCUUGCACUCAAUUGGAAAGAGGAGUGGCGGACGGGUGAGUAACACGUGGGUAACCUACCUUGUAGCGGGGGAUAACUAUUGGAAACGAUAGCUAAUACCGCAUAACAAUGGAUGACACAUGUCAUUUAUUUGAAAGGGGCAAUUGCUCCACUACAAGAUGGACCUGCGUUGUAUUAGCUAGUAGGUGAGGUAAUGGCUCACCUAGGCGACGAUACAUAGCCGACCUGAGAGGGUGAUCGGCCACACUGGGACUGAGACACGGCCCAG